GAUGAACGCUGGCGGCGUGCCUAAUACAUGCAAGUCGAGCGAACAGACGAGGAGCUUGCUCCUCUGACGUUAGCGGCGGACGGGUGAGUAACACGUGGAUAACCUACCUAUAAGACUGGGAUAACUUCGGGAAACCGGAGCUAAUACCGGAUAAUAUAUUGAACCGCAUGGUUCAAUAGUGAAAGACGGUUUUGCUGUCACUUAUAGAUGGAUCCGCGCCGCAUUAGCUAGUUGGUAAGGUAACGGCUUACCAAGGCAACGAUGCGUAGCCGACCUGAGAGGGUGAUCGGCCACACUGGAACGGAGACACGGUCCAGACUCCUAAGGGAGGCAGCAGUAGGGAAUCUUCCGCAAUGGGCGAAAGCCUGACGGAGCAACGCCGCGUGAGUGAUGAAGGUCUUCGGAGCGUAAAACUCUGUUAUUAGGGAAGAACAAAUGUGUAAGUAACUAUGCACGUCUUGACGGUACCUAAUCAGAAAGCCACGGCUAACUACGUG
rnacentral:rRNA from 1 species